ensembl:lncRNA
AUGCAGAUACUCAAAGUAAUACGUAGAGUUAGGUCUUAUACCACCAUGAUGGCACAUUUACUGGUCCACCCCACUUCUAUAUUUAAAUGGGUUGAGCUCAACAAAACAGGUGAGCCAGACGUGUAUAUUCAGUGUUCAUUUGAUAUCACUCUGUUUGUCUUGUGUGUAAAGGGUUUCUGUUCCUGUUUGCUUUUGUUAGGGACACUGAGCCCCCCUCUUACCGGGAUCAUCUGUCUGCCUGGUGGACGAGCUGCGUCCUGCCCACUGCACCCAAUUCACAUAGAAAUUUACUCAAAUACUACAGAGGGUUUCAGGAGGAAGGAUUGCUGGAAGAGAUCAGCGGGACUCACUGAGUGGGCAGAGAAAAAUAGCCAGGCCAGUGAAGAUGGAUGGGUGACAGUCCCAUUGGUCACAGCGAUUCAGCACUCAGUCACCACGGAGACAAGCAGUGAAACCAGGAUUGCUGAAAGCCAAAUGAUUUGUGCUGUGAAAAAAAUUUAUAUUUUAGAUCAUUUUCUUAAACAUAAUUUAAUUUAUCAUGUAAAGUAAUGGAGCUUAAGCACAUUAAAUAAAUGCUCACCAUCAAAAUGGUGAUGUGAUAAG